AAACAGACAUGAUGAUAUUAUACCGCCCCAGUCUGAUGAUGUGAGUGAUUUGGUGGGUUCUGAAAGUUU